UACGAAGGGGGCUAGCGUUGCUCGGAAUCACUGGGCGUAAAGGGUGCGUAGGCGGGUUUCUAAGUCAGAGGUGAAAUCCUGGAGCUCAACUCCAGAACUGCCUUCGAUACUGGAAGUCUUGAGUAUGGGAGAGGUGAGUGGAACUGCGAGUGUAGAGGUGAAAUUCGUAGAUAUUCGCAAGAACACCAGUGGCGAAGGCGGCUCACUGGCCCAUUACUGACGCUGAGGCACGAAAGCGUGGGGAGCAAACAGG
rnacentral:rRNA from 1 species